rnacentral:rRNA from 1 species
AGCAGCCGCGGUAAUUCCAGCUCCAAUAGCGUAUAUUAAAGUUGUUGCAGUUAAAAAGCUCGUAGUUGAAUUUCGGGGUCAGUAGAUUGGUCGUGCCACUGGUAUGAACUGGUCUUACUGAUUCCUCCUUCUUGACGAACUGUGAUGUCAUUAAUUUGGUGUUGCAGGGAAUCAGGACUGUUACUUUGAAAAAUUAGAGUGUUUAAAGCAAGCUAACGCUUGAAUACAUUAGCAUGGAAUAAUGAAAUAGGACGCUUGAUCCUAUUUUGUUGGUUUCUAGGAUCGACGUAAUGAUUAAUAGGGAUAGUUGGGGGCAUUAGUAUUCAAUUGUCAGAGGUGAAAUUCUUGGAUUUAUUGAAGACUAACUACUGCGAAAGCAUUUGCCAAGGAUGUUUUCAUUAAUCAAGAACGAAAGUUAGGGGAUCGAAGACGAUCAGAUACCGUCGUAGUCUUAACCAUAAACUAUGCCGACUAGGGAUCGGAUGAUGUUAAUUUUUAAUGUACUCAUUC